AACAGAAACUAAAGAAGAUUUCGCAAUGUUAAAAAAUUGGAGAAAAGGGAAGUAAAUCGUGCGUAUGAUUUUCGCUUGCGGAAAAAAGAAAGGGAAGGAUUAGGGGCGGCAAAAAAUUGGGGGAAGUUAGGGGGAAUUCUAGGGCGCCUAAAAUUGGAGAAAAAAAGUAAAACGACCCCUUUCAUAUAGAAAGUUUCAUUCGCUUCUGAUUCCGCCCCCUCAAAGCUCUAACCCUAGCCCUCCUGCCACCGCUGCCAUGAUCACCUGCUUCAAGAAGAACCGCAAGAAGCGCAUCCACGUCAGCGCCGGCCACGGCCACAUCGGCAAGCACUGCAAGCACCCCGGCGACUGCGGUAACGCCAGAGGGAUGCACCACCAUCGGAUCCUCUUCGAUAAGUACCACCUCGGUUACUUCGGCAAGGUCGGCAUGUGCUACUUCCACAGGCUCCGCAACAAAUUCUACUGACCCGCCGUCAACGUCGAAAUGCUCUGGUCUUUGGUCCCGAUUAGGGUUCUUCUCUGUAGUGUUUUUUGAGGGUUAGGGUUUUCUAUGGAGAUGGGAUUCGACGCCAUGGCCAACGACACUCCUGUGGUUCCCGCGGUUGCGAGGGAAACCGGGAAGAAGAAGAUGGCGAAUAGGUCGGCGAAAUUGAAGCAGUGUAAGCUUGAUGCGAUGAGGGAGCAAUGGCUUUCUCAAGAUAUUUUAAUUUAAUGUAGUUUAUUUUGUAAUUUUCGAAAUUGGAUGUUUUUAUUAAUUUUAGGGUUAUUGUUUAUUGCAUGUUGAACAAUUGAAUCCCUGUUGAAACUGCAAGAAGAUCGAAUAUGAGGCAUAGGCCAUUUGGCAUUGGUGUCCAGGGUUUGUCUGAUGCCUUUUUGAUUCACAAGAGGCUCAAAAGCUGAACAAGGACAUAUUUGAGACAAUAUAUUAUCAUGCUUUAAAAGCUUCUUCAGAAAUUGCCGCAAAAGAAGGCACAUAUGAGACAUAUCAAGGAAGUCCCGUUAGUCAGGCAUGACAUGAUAUGGAUGGAGGUUGCAAGGUGAUAGAUGGUGAAGGGGAGAUUAGUUUGGUGCGAUGCAGUGGGAAGAAGAAGCCAGAGACGUGAUGAAGGAAAGGCUUGCAACGUUGAUAAGACAUAGGCACACUGUAGUCUUUAUUGUUCAAGUCUACAUAAUCAUGGUUUAUUUCUUUUCUGCUGUAGGUCUUAUGGGUAGGUUUUAAUUUAUUAGAUUUGCAUUUCAAAUUUAGAGUUCGAGAGUGUGGAGCGAUGAACCAUGUAAACCUAUGGCCUAAAGAAGUACAGGCUUUGUAAUUAGCAUAUUGUUGGAUUUGUUAAUAAAACAUGUGUCAAACACUUGUUAUUUGUUUAAUAGAAUUGCGUUUAAAUUUA